GAAGCUUCGACUAAGGUUCGAUUCGAGCGCAGCGAGAAAGCGUUGCCGCAGGCAACGACCCGAAGGGCGAAGCGCGCAGCGCUGAGUAAUCCUUCCCCCACCACCA
rnacentral:sRNA from 1 species